ensembl:misc_RNA Metazoa_SRP Metazoan signal recognition particle RNA
GCUGGGCAUGGUGGCUCAUGCCUGUAAUCCCAGCACUUUGGGAGGCUGAGGUGGGUGGGUCACCUGAGGUCGGGAGUUCAAGACCAGCCUGACCAACAUGGAGAAAACCCAUCUCCA